UACGUAGGUGGCAAGCGUUGUCCGGAUUUACUGGGCGUAAAGAGCGCGCAGGCGGUCUUUUAAGUCGAAUGUGAAAGCCCCCGGCUCAACUGGGGAGGGUCAUUCGAUACUGAUCGACUUGAAGGCAGGAGAGGGUAGUGGAAUUCCCGGUGUAGUGGUGAAAUGCGUAGAUAUCGGGAGGAACACCAGUGGCGAAGGCGGCUGCCUGGACCAGUCCUGACGCUGAGGCGCGAAAGCUAGGGGAGCAAACAGG
rnacentral:rRNA from 1 species